rnacentral:rRNA from 1 species
UACGAAGGGUGCAAGCGUUACUCGGAAUUACUGGGCGUAAAGCGUGCGCAGGCGGUUCGUUGUGUCGGUGGUGAAAGCCCCGGGCUUAACCUGGGAAUGGCCAUGGAAACUGGCGAACUGGAGUGUGGCAGAGGGGGGUGGAAUUCCGCGUGUAGCAGUGAAAUGCGUAGAGAUGUGGAGGAACACCGAUGGCGAAGGCAGCCCCCUGGGUCAAGAUUGACGCUCAUGCACGAAAGCGUGGGGAGCGAACAGG